rnacentral:rRNA from 1 species
GCCUCAUUUUAUAAUUUGAGGUAUUGCCUGCUCAGUGCAAAAGUAAAUAGCCGCAGUAUUUUGACUGUGCGAAGGUAGCAUAAUAAAUUGGCUCAUAAUUGGAGUCUGGGAUGAAUGGCUUGACAAGGGUUUAACUGUCUUAAGUUUAGAGAUUCUGAAAUUAAAUUUUUCGUAAAAAUGCGGAAAUAGAUGAGAGGGACGAGAAGACCCUAUAGAUCUUUGAAUGGGUUAUUGAUUCAAUAGGAAUUGAUGGGCUCAUUUUAUUUGGGGAAAAUCUUGAAAUUCUAAAACUUUGGUUAAAUGAAAAAUGGAAAUGAUUGAUUUUCGAUCCACUAAUAGAGGUGAAAGAAUGAAAAAGUUACCUUAGGGAUAACAGGACAAUGUUUUCUUUGAGAUCUUAUCUGAGAGAGCGUUUGUUACCUCGAUGUUGAAUUAAGUUAUCUUAUUAAAGGAGAGGUUCUUAUUAGUUGGUCUGUUCGACCAUUAAAAAC